UCAGCCAUUCCCCAUCUAAUUCUGAGAUGCACGAGAGAGAGAAGGUGGCCUAGUCCUAGAUGCCGCUGUGAUGCUGCCUCCCUCCACUGAAAAUGGUGACCUCUUGCCUCACGCUUCCUCCAAGCGACAGCCACGGCCACGGUAGCCUCCUCCUUCACGCCGCUUGCACAGCCUUGCCGGUCCUUCAUCCUCCCAUCUCCGGCCAACCCAUCUUAGUUUAGGAAAGGAGAUGUCACAACAAAAAGUAAGCCAUCACUUCAAUGUCAAGUAGCACAGACUGGUGGAGUAUAUCGAAGUCAACCAGCACCUCAGGUUAGAGACACAAAGAGUUACAAGAAGUUACAGCUUUGGAGUGUUAGCAGAAAUAAUGGCUGUUGCAAGACAUCCAAAAGAAUUACAAAAUCUUAUAUGAAUGCACAAGAGCAUAAAUGAAUAAGAUUGCUUGUGAAUUAAUGUGCAAAAGUGAAGGCCCUUAUGGAGAUAAAUGUGUAUUUGAAGUGGAUGGAAUACUUAUAUAUUUUUUGUUAUUUUUGAAACAAUUCGAGGGUUACCACUGUUUGGAACAAAUUUUUUGUUAUUGUCUGACACUGUUUGAGGAUUACUACUAUUUGGAACAUUUUGAAUGGUGGAAUUUAA